rnacentral:rRNA from 1 species
CAGUCGCCGCGGUAAUACGAAGGGGGCUAGCGUUGUUCGGAUUUACUGGGCGUAAAGCGCACGUAGGCGGAUCGAUCAGUCAGGGGUGAAAUCCUAGAGCUCAACUCUGGAACUGCCUUUGACACUGUCGAUCUGGAGUAUGGAAGAGGUGAGUGGAAUCCCGAGUGUAGAGGUGAAAUUCGUAGAUAUUCGGAGGAACACCAGUGGCGAAGGCGGCUCACUGGUCCAUUACUGACGCUGAGGUGCGAAAGCGUGGGGAGCAAACAGGAUUAGAUACCCCAGUAGUCCCUGUCUCUUAUAC